GGUGAAAAGCACCCCGGAAGGGGAGUGAAAUAGAACCUGAAACCGUGUGCUUACAAGUAGUCAGAGCCCGUUAAUGGGUGAUGGCGUGCCUUUUGUAGAAUGAACCGGCGAGUUACGAUUUGAUGCAAGGUUAAGCAGUAAAUGUGGAGCCGUAGCGAAAGCGAGUCUGAAUAGGGCGUUUAGUAUUUGGUCGUAGACCCGAAACCAGGUGAUCUACCCUUGGUCAGGUUGAAGUUCAGGUAACACUGAAUGGAGGACCGAACCGACUUACGUUGAAAAGUGAGCGGAUGAACUGAGGGUAGCGGAGAAAUUCCAAUCGAACCUGGAGAUAGCUGGUUCUCUCCGAAAUAGCUUUAGGGCUAGCCUCAAGUGAUGAUUAUUGGAGGUAGAGCACUGUUUGGACGAGGGGCCCCUCUCGGGUUACCGAAUUCAGACAAACUCCGAAUGCCAAUUAAUUUAACUUGGGAGUCAGAACAUGGGUGAUAAGGUCCGUGUUCGAAAGGGAAACAGCCCAGACCACCAGCUAAGGUCCCAAAAUAUAUGUUAAGUGGAAAAGGAUGUGGCGUUGCCCAGACAACUAGGAUGUUGGCUUAGAAGCAGCCAUCAUUUAAAGAGUGCGUAAUAGCUCACUAGUCGAGUGACACUGCGCCGAAAAUGUACCGGGGCUAAACAUAUUACCGAAGCUGUGGAUUGUCCUUUGGACAAUGGUAGGAGAGCGUUCUAAGGGCGUUGAAGCAUGAUCGUAAGGACAUGUGGAGCGCUUAGAAGUGAGAAUGCCGGUGUGAGUAGCGAAAGACGGGUGAGAAUCCCGUCCACCGAUUGACUAAGGUUUCCAGAGGAAGGCUCGUCCGCUCUGGGUUAGUCGGGUCCUAAGCUGAGGCCGACAGGCGUAGGCGAUGGAUAACAGGUUGAUAUUCCUGUACCACCUAUAAUCGUUUUAAUCGAUGGGGGGACGCAGUAGGAUAGGCGAAGCGUGCGAUUGGAUUGCACGUCUAAGCAGUAAGGCUGAGUAUUAGGCAAAUCCGGUACUCAUUAAGGCUGAGCUGUGAUGGGGAGAAGACAUUGUGUCUUCGAGUCGUUGAUUUCACACUGCCGAGAAAAGCCUCUAGAUAGAAAAUAGGUGCCCGUACCGCAAACCGACACAGGUAGUCAAGAUGAGAAUUCUAAGGUGAGCGAGCGAACUCUCGUUAAGGAACUCGGCAAAAUGACCCCGUAACUUCGGGAGAAGGGGUGCUCUUUAGGGUUAACGCCCAGAAGAGCCGCAGUGAAUAGGCCCAAGCGACUGUUUAUCAAAAACACAGGUCUCUGCUAAACCGUAAGGUGAUGUAUAGGGGCUGACGCCUGCCCGGUGCUGGAAGGUUAAGAGGAGUGGUUAGCUUCUGCGAAGCUACGAAUCGAAGCCCCAGUAAACGGCGGCCGUAACUAUAACGGUCCUAAGGUAGCGAAAUUCCUUGUCGGGUAAGUUCCGACCCGCACGAAAGGCGUAACGAUUUGGGCACUGUCUCAACGAGAGACUCGGUGAAAUCAUAGUACCUGUGAAGAUGCAGGUUACCCGCGACAGGACGGAAAGAC
rnacentral:rRNA from 1 species